GACGAACGCUGGCGGCGUGCCUAAUACAUGCAAGUAGAACGCUGAAGAGAGGAGCUUGCUCUUCUUGGAUGAGUUGCGAACGGGUGAGUAACGCGUAGGUAACCUGCCUUGUAGCGGGGGAUAACUAUUGGAAACGAUAGCUAAUACCGCAUAACAAUGGAUGACACAUAUCAUUUAUUUGAAAGGGGCAAUUGCUCCACUACAAGAUGGACCUGCGUUGUAUUAGCUAGUAGGUGAGGUAAUGGCGCACCUCGGCGACGCUACAUAGCCGACCUGAGAGGGUGCUCGGCCACGCUGGGACUGAGACACGGCCCAGACUCCUGCGGGAGGCAGCAGUAGCGGAUCUUCGGCGAUGGGGGCAACCGUGACCGAGCAACGCCGCGUGAGUGCAGAAGGUUUUCGGAUCGUAAAGCUCUGUUGUGAGUCAAGAACGGGUGUGAGAGUGGAAAGUUCACACUGUGACGGUAGCUUACCAGAAAGGGACGGCUAACUACGUG
rnacentral:rRNA from 1 species